CCAGGCUUUCCACCGGAAUCUCCGCAAGGCGCGUGUUCGACCACGCCUCUGCCGCG
rnacentral:misc_RNA from 1 species